ensembl:lncRNA
CCGAGGUUACGCUAGACUCGAGCGUGAGCACGUUCUAGAUAGCAGCCCAAGUGGCUAUGAAAGCUAAGCAUUGCCGGAUAAUGUCUAAUAGUAAGAAGACGGUAGACGGGGUCUGGCAUUGCGGACGUUGCGCCUAAACAACGUAAAUAUUCAUCCUGGAAACACGAAGUCAAGCCAACUCACUUUGCACUACAGCUGCAGGAAAUGCAUUUUAUAGUUCUUAUGUUAUUUAAUUUAAACUUUUUAGCGUGUAGUUGAUCAAUGUAUUAAUCCUGCAGUGUAUUUUACACCAAUACCACACCAGGAAUGGGGAUCAUUAGCGUCAUCAUGCGUUGUGUUCUUCAAAAGGCUCUAGAAUAUUUAGUUGCCGGUAGAUCUGUUCGGGAUUUAGUUGUUGAGCGAACCUUGUAUUGCAACGGAGAUUUGUUAGUGAACGUGUUAUCCCUGUGUAACAGUGUAAAUAAUUACUUUCUUUUAUUUGUUAAAUUCUGUUAAACUUGGGACUCCAACCAAUAUUUUAUAUUUUAUUCUGAAAGUCCACGGCGGAAGUUUGUGUUUGAAAGUUCAGAAGCAACCAAGCUUACGUUGUGCUAAUAAACCAGUCCAGUGCUCAACCCAACCUGUCUCCGUGGGUUCAAUUAAGAAGCAGAAGAGCUGCAGUGUACCCAAGGUCACAUCUGCUCUAUAAGGUGUCCGGCCGCCAUCCCCUAUUCACGUGCUUUUGUGUAUUGGAGAACCUGCUCAGCAAGCUGCAGUCUGCAACUUCUGCGGGAGGUUUAAUUCAAAUCCAGUACUGUUGCAUUUCAGCAAAAGCACAAGGGUGAAAGUCUUUGGUCCCCUUCAACUCCUGAGCAACAACAGCAGCAGUGGCAUCUUCCCCUUCUUUCCCCUAAGGCUGUAGCUGCUCCAAACAAAGUUUGAGGCCACAGAGCGCAACACCCUCCUCACACACUCCCCAGGAUUGGACCCCCCAACUAGGCUCAGAUGGGAAAUCUAAGGAAAUCAAACAACCAUGGUUAAGUCUCAAGCCUUCGGAGUGAAGGGAAAAACGGUCUGUCUAGUUACUGGACCAGAUGAAAUGAGACGGAGAGGACUUUGUCUCCGCCCUCUUGUUCCUCCUGACGGCCUGAUCCCAAUCAUCUAAACAGUCAGGUGGGCCAAAACAAUUAGAAAUUACACUCUUUUAAAUGUGUUGCAUGUCACCACUUAUUUAUUUGUCGCCCAUUAACACACAUUAACACACAAAUAUUUUUAUUGGCCUUUUUAGCCAGGUUUUAGGAUCGGGCAAAUCUUUGUCCUUUGCCCUCUGUGUGGGCUUGUGGAGUGGCCAGUAGCUGCAUGUCUUCUGAAAUGGAAAACAAAAUAGUUUUGCAGAACUUGCAUAGAAUUUUUGAAAUGAUUGACAUAAAGGUUUUUCGCAUGUACUUACAUCUCCCUCUUUUAUAAUCCAAUUACUGGCCACUAUGCCAACAGUCCUUUCCCCCAAAAAUUUGACGAUGCUAUACAUUCUGUAAUCAAGAACAGAGAGGUUAAUUUAAUACAGUAAAGAAUAAUUGUGUCUGUACAAGAAAUUGCAAUGAUAAUACACUGAGCAAAAUACAACAUACUGCAAUGUCAUGAAGAAUGGCCAUGAAGAGGAUUUUUUCCCCCACAGGAAUCUUGAUUGCCUUUCUUUUCAGGUUGUCAUUUUGGAUCCAUCUCAAAACGGUGUCAUUGUUCUUGUACUUCAGUACUCCGAUUAAUGUGGAGUCACAAGGGACACUGAAAAGUGGUUCUGGGUGCUGGUAUACACGGCAAAGCUGGCUUCCGUCCCUCUCCUCUAUGACCUCGCAGCAUUCGCGGCGAUUCAAAAUAAAAGAAGAAUUGGACCUCUGCCUACCAUGCUCCAUUGGCUGUCCAGCGCAUUCCUCAAGCCUUUUCACCACUUGUGACAGGGGGCAUCUUCCACUCCUUACCAUCCUCUUUAUUUUCUUGAGACAAUUUACAAAUUUAAAAGCGCUACAAUUGUCCAAUCCUCCAAAGGUCACGGCAUCCUCCACAAUGUGCAACAUUGAGUGCACGUUGUAGACCAGAAACUGGUUACCAUAAAGUUCUCAGCCUCUCUCAACAAAGAAUCGGAGGAGAUCAGCAGCAUAUCUCCAGUGUUGCUCGACCAAUGCUGGACUUACAAGUAUGUUCAUUGCCACACUGAAUGUCAUGAAGUGGCUGAAAAAUUCAUCUUUAAGGACCCCCUUCAGCACAAUCUUUCCUGUAUAUAACAUAAACUGCCUAUGUUCCGUUGCCUUCCAUCUCUCAAGCUCUUUAAGAUCUCUCGGUUUAAGAGCGAAGCUGGAAGGGAUGUGUGGACGGAGGAAUUCCAGAUUCUGUGGCUUCGAACCUCCACAAGUCAGGGUGAUAGGGAAGACUGACACUGGUUUUAAAUGGACAGCACAAAGGAUGGGCCACAUUGUUCUUCCUGAGCUCUUAAACAGAGGAAAAUGGACAUACUCCAUACCAGACUUUGAUGUGAUCCUGACCUCCCUUGGUGUCUUCAGGAGUGUCCUGGUGGUGGAAGGCAGGUCAGUGUGUCCGUGACCUCUCAAAACUUUCAAAAGGUCCUCAACAGCAUUGUGUUUCACCUGAAACUGGCAAGCCCAGCUAGCGAGGUCAGAUGCGAGCGAUGCCGGACGCUGGUCGGACGCCUCCAGGUCAUCCCCAAAAACCACUUCCUCCUCAUCAUCAGAGGGAUCAACAUCCAUCCAGUCAUCGAGGUCAUCCUCCAAAGCAGAACGAUCCUCAAAUGACUCAUCCAAGUCCAAGGAGUUGUCCAUGUCACCAAUAGGCGCAAGAACACCGGAUGGACUGCUGGACAAGC